UACGUAGGGGGCGAGCGUUGUCCGGAUUUAUUGGGCGUAAAGAGCUCGUAGGCGGUUCGAUAAGUCGGACGUGAAAUCUCCACGCUCAACGUGGAGGGGCCGUUCGAUACUGUCGUGACUGGAGUCCGGUAGGGGAGCGUGGAAUUCCUGGUGUAGCGGUUAAAUGCGCAGAUAUCAGGAGUAACACCAGCGGCGAAGGCGGCGCUCUGGGCCGGUACUGACGCUGAGGAGCGAAAGCGUGGGUAGUAAACAGG
rnacentral:rRNA from 1 species